rnacentral:rRNA from 1 species
CGGAGGGUGCAAGCGUUACUCGGAAUCACUGGGCGUAAAGCGCGCGCAGGCGGCCUUGUAAGUUGGAUGUGAAAGCCUACGGCUCAACCGUAGAACUGCAUCCAAAACUACUCGGCUAGAGUGUGGGAGGGGAAGAUGGAAUUAGUUGUGUAGGGGUAAAAUCCGUAGAGAUAACUAGGAAUACCAAAAGCGAAGGCAAUCUUCUGGAACACUACUGACGCUGAGGCGCGAAAGCGUGGGGAGCAAACAGGAUUAGAUACCCUGGUAGUCCACGCCCUAAACUAUGAAUGUUAGUCGUCGGGAGGCUCGUCCUUUCGGUGAUGCAGCUAACGCAUUAAACAUUCCGCCUGGGGAGUACGGUCGCAAGAUUAAAACUCAAAGGAAUAGACGGGGACCCGCACAAGUGGUGGAGCAUGUGGUUUAAUUCGAAGAUACGCGAAGAACCUUACCUAGCCUUGACAUUGAUAGAAUCCGGUAGAAUACUGGAUGCCCUCCGGGAACUUGAAAACAGGUGCUGCACGGCUGUCGUCCGCUCCUGUCUUGA